rnacentral:rRNA from 1 species
GACGAACGCUGGCGGCGUGCUUAACACAUGCAAGUCGAACGGCAAGGCCCUGCUUUUGUGGGGUGCUCGAGUGGCGAACGGGUGAGUAACACGUGAGUAACCUGCCCUUGACUUUGGGAUAACUUCAGGAAACUGGGGCUAAUACCGGAUAGGAGCCCCUGCUGCAUGGUGGGGGUUGGAAAGUUUCGGCGGUUGGGGAUGGACUCGCGGCUUAUCAGCUUGUUGGUGGGGUAGUGGCUUACCAAGGCUUUGACGGGUAGCCGGCCUGAGAGGGUGACCGGCCACAUUGGGACUAAGAUACGGCCCAGACUCCUACGGGAGGCAGCAGUGGGGAAUAUUGCACAAUGGGCGGAAGUCUGAUGCAGCAACGUCGCGUGCGGGAAGACGGCCUUCGGGUUGUAAACCGCUUUCGCCUGUGACGAAGCGUGAGUGACGGUAAUGGGUAAAGAAGCACCGGCUAACUACGUG